AAAAUCGGAGAAACUGAUCAUUUUAGGUGGUCUCUUAAUUUUUUCCAGAGCUGUAUAUCCAACCGUUCUUGUUAAUUCUUUUGAAUACGCUUUUUGCAUUUCCCCGAAAAAUAGAACUUCAGUUUCAGUUCAUAUUAAACCACAUAACAAAAUAGCCUCUUAAAAUUUUUAGGGGAAAAAAUUAGCGUCAGGAUCUCUAGACUAAAAUCUAAUCAUCACUGUUGAUACUCUCUGGAUAAGUCUCUCAGUCUGGGAGCCAUUGCCCCCCGCGCCGCCCACCCCUUUUCCCUCCCCAUCCCAUGAUAUUUGUUGCCCUGCUCUAAACUUAGCUGUGACAGAACCACUCCUCAUCACAACAUGCAUUGGGAGUACAAAAGAUGGGAUCAAGUUUCCUCAGAUGCUGCUGCAUAUCAGUCGUGACGCAGUAAAAAUAAGCCUUGUGGUAUGAGGAACAGCUGCUUCUACAGUCACACCGGCAUUUAGAUUCUACUACUCUGAUGAACUAAUGGUCCCAAAUGGAGUUGUUGGCACUUUAGUGGACUGGGAAGAAUUUCUACAUCCAAGAAACAUCAAACUUGACACGCAGAAGAGUUUGAUUCCAUUGUACGGUCGAGUCUGAACGAGCAGAGAGCUCCUGCUGCAGAUGAGACGCUACAGUCAGAGCUCCGUUCUCUGGGAAGUAUAAAAUUAAGACAAGUGUUUGCGUUGUGCUGCAACGCCGCUCUCAAAACUUGGAGCCCUGUUUGAAAAGUGUGUGUGGUGUGUUUGUGUUCCCACUGUCCUUGGGAUAAAUUUAACUUUCCUGAGCCGCCUCAUUCACACACAGACAGGCAUUGCAGCUGAAGAUAUCUGCUUUGGCUCCUUACUUGUGACAAAGGCACUUACUGUCCCCCCAGUAACAGAUGAGUUCGGUCACAGAGAUUAAUAACUUGACCAGAAUCGAAAUCCUCUUCGGUGACUUUAUUGAAGACAAACUGGGCCAAUGUCUCUUCAGUUUGGAUUAAGUAAAUAUUAGUUGUCUUAAAGUGGUGCGAAAGGCUUUAAAAUAAAUCAAUCUGAGCACAAUGUUAGACAUGAAAUCCAACCUUUACUUUGAGUACAAUUAUUAGGUAAGGGAAUAAUCUCAUAAGGAGUGUUUGAAACAAGUUUACUACACUUAUUCACACCCCUGCUGGUAAUACUGGUAUCUAAUGUUUUAAGCACAUUUCACAUGGUUAUGUUUGUGAUGGUAGGACAGGAGAAGCUUUUUCCUGUUACACCUCCUAAAAUAAGGUGGCAUUUACUGGUUUUAUUACCUUUUUCUUUGCUUCUGCUCUAUUAUGGUGAGAUUUUUUUUUCUUUAAAAAUGCUGUCAUACUGUUUCUCAUCUUCCUGUGUGUCAGUGUGCUGAAAAAUGCAUGAUAUGAGGAUCUAAAUUGAUUGUGUCCAAACUUUUUGCACUGCAAGUCCAUCAUUUCUAAGUUGAAAGUCAUCAGCAUCCAUAUAUUUUUUUUUUCACAAUUAAAAACACAAAUUAAUUCAUUUUGAAUUCUUUCCCUUUUUGCUGCUCUGUCAUAAAUCGAUUAAUAAAAAUGUUAUUGGAUGUUUGUGGGCCAGCUUGUUAUGACAUUAAAUGAAAGCAAGAAAACAUGGCUAAUGAAAGUGGUAAUUAUUAUUGAAUAAGCUUAAGCAUCCUCCUGCAUGGUGAAGUGAGUGAACAGCCUGCGUAGAGUCAGAUGUGUUUUUGUGUAGUUCAGUCGCAGCUAGGUGGAUCCUGCUGCGACAUUCUUUUUUUUAUCUUUCACAUUUUGAAGAGUGGCUGAGAAAAAGUGAUUCUCCAUUGGAUACAUAUAUGUUUCCAUCACAUCUAUGCUACGGGAAUUGCUAGCGGUGCCAACAAUUGUGAUUUAGUUAAAAACAUUGCUUUCAUAGUGUAUGAUUCCAGCUGAAAGCAAGUAUUCACAGUACAGGUUGGAUUUUUUCAUGUUCAGACUUCCUGUGGUAUCAAAUGUCACAUUUAUUUUAAAGCAUUUUACACAGUCAGAUGGGCAAAUAAUCAUGGAAGCUGUAGUUUGUAGCAGAAACUCAAACUAGACUUUAUUUACAGGUAACAUUUAUGAUUGAGAAGGAAAGAAGAGAAAACCAAAGUGAAACAAUGAAUUCUUCAGCAAAUGAAGAGAGCACUCAGGAAACAAAUCAGAAUUGUUCCCCCUUUCAAGCUGCAGAUAAAAAUAUGUCAAAGGAGUCUUUCUCCUCGCUGCUGCCGAAGGCUCUCUCUGCUGUGCUAAAUCCAGCAGUGCCCCCAACCCUCAACUCAGAUCCCCGACCAAGGAGCCCAGAGAAAAAUAUCAAGCCAAAUGUGGAACAGCUGCAGGCCGAGUUAAAAGACCUCAGGGACCAGUUUGAACAGAUGAAGAGUCGACACAACGAAGAAAUUAAGCUGCUGAUGAAUGAGCUUGAUGAGGAGAAGAGGAUUCGCUUAACUUUACAGAUGGAAAUCCAGUGGAUGAAGAAACACAUGUCAAAAUGAACAAGAAGGACUGGAUCAAGGGCAAGGGUUUCUGUUGUUACUUAGGCUUUAUGUAUCUUUUUAAAGAAACUGGCCAUGAAAAUAAUCUUUUUCGUGCUUUUUUAAAAGGAAAAUGGACAGUUUAUUAUUUCUUUGCUAAUGUAGGCAAUGUUGUGAUGUGAGGAAGGUGCUUCUUAUAUUUUUGUUUGUAUCAAGAACAAAUAAAUGCAUUCAUUCAAACACAGAAAAAUAUUUUUGCCAUCAUUAGCUGAAACGGAGAAAGUAGUUAAACCAGAAUAGAUGGAAAAAAAGCAGGACUGAAAUAGUCUUUCUGAUGCGCUACCAGCAGCUUAUCUGUCAGCCAAUGUCAGUCAGUGGCAUCUUAAUACGAAGUUAUAAUCCUGGUGAAGCUAUCAAAGGAAAUGAAGAAACAUUUUCUUAAUAUAAAAUAUAAUUAAAAAAAUAUAUAAAUUAAGCUCAGAGGCCAGAUAUUUUUAGUGAGAAAAUAAAAAUGUAUUUAGUUUUUUUUAAAAGUGA